UUUUGGAAAAGGAAGUACGAUCGACUCGCCAAGGAGAAGGCAGAUAUGGAGGCAGCCUACGAGAGGGAGGUGAAGAGGCUUCGUGCGUCUUAUCUUCCUGUGUCCAGAGCUUUGGAAGAUUGCUUUUAGAGAUCCAUAAGAUGUUUAUUUCCCUUCUCUCUUGUAUUAUAUUUGGUUACCAAAACUGUACUUCUUUAGAGUAAAAAUGUUUCCAGAUAUUAUUUGAUGAGAUAUUUCCAUAUGUGAUAAAUGUUUAAU
rnacentral:lncRNA from 1 species